rnacentral:rRNA from 1 species
AGCGAACGCUGGCGGCAGGCCUAACACAUGCAAGUCGAACGAACCCUUCGGGGUUAGUGGCGGACGGGUGAGUAACACGUGGGAACGUGCCUUUAGGUUCGGAAUAACUCAGGGAAACUUGUGCUAAUACCGAAUGUGCCCUUCGGGGGAAAGAUUUAUCGCCUUUAGAGCGGCCCGCGUCUGAUUAGCUAGUUGGUGAGGUAAUGGCUCACCAAGGCUACGAUCAGUAGCUGGUCUGAGAGGAUGACCAGCCACAUUGGGACUGGGACACGGCCCAAACUCCUACGGGAGGCAGCAGUGGGGAAUCUUGCGCAAUGGGCGAAAGCCUGACGCAGCCAUGCCGCGUGAAUGAUGAAGGUCUUAGGAUUGUAAAAUUCUUUCACCGGGGACGAUAAUGACGGUACCCGGAGAAGAAGCCCCGGCUAACUUCGUGCCAGCCGCCGCGGUAAUAC